rnacentral:misc_RNA from 1 species
GCAUCGAUGAAGAACGCAGCGAAAUGCGAUAAGUAAUGUGAAUUGCAGAAUUCAGUGAAUCAUCGAGUCUUUGAACGCACAUUGCGCCCCCUGGUAUUCCGGGGGGCAUGCCUGUCCGAGCGUCAUUGCUGCCCUCAAGCACGGCUUGUGUGUUGGGCCCCCGCCCCCCGGCUCCGGGGGGCGGGCCCGAAAGGCAGCGGCGGCACCGCGUCCGGUCCUCGAGCGUAUGGGGCUUCGUCACCCGCUCUGUAGGCCCGGCCGGCGCCCGCCGGCGACCCCAAUCAAUCUUUCCAGGUUGACCUCGGAUCAGGUAGGGAUACCCGCUGAACUUAAGCAUAUCAAUAAGCGGAGGA